GACGAACGCUGGCGGCGUGCUUAACACAUGCAAGUCGAACGGAAAGGCCCUGCUUUUGUGGGGUGCUCGAGUGGCGAACGGGUGAGUAACACGUAAGUAACCUGCCCUUGACUUUGGGAUAACUUCAGGAAACUGGGGCUAAUACCGGAUAGGAGCUCCUGCUGCAUGGUGGGGGUUGGAAAGUUUCGGCGGUUGGGGAUGGACUCGCGGCUUAUCAGCUUGUUGGUGGGGUAGUGGCUUACCAAGGCUUUGACGGGUAGCCGGCCUGAGAGGGUGACCGGCCACAUUGGGACUGAGAUACGGCCCAGACUCCUACGGGAGGAAGCAGUGGGGAAUAUUGCACAAUGGGCGGAAGCCUGAUGCAGCAACGCCGCGUGCGGGAUGACGGCCUUCGGGUUGUAAACCGCUUUCGCCUGUGACGAAGCGUGAGUGACGGUAAUGGGUAAAGAAGCACCGGCUAACUACGUG
rnacentral:rRNA from 1 species